CGGCGGACGGGUUAGUAACGCGUGGGAAUAUGCCCAAAGGUACGGAAUAGCCUCUGGAAACGGAGAGUAAUACCGUAUGUGCCCUUCGGGGGAAAGAUUUAUCGCCUUUGGAUUAGCCCGCGUUAGAUUAGGUAGUUGGUGGGGUAAUGGCCUACCAAGCCUACGAUCUAUAGCUGGUUUUAGAGGAUGAUCAGCAACACUGGGACUGAGACACGGCCCAGACUCCUACGGGAGGCAGCAGUGGGGAAUCUUGGACAAUGGGGGCAACCCUGAUCCAGCCAUGCCGCGUGAGUGAUGAAGGCCUUAGGGUCGCAAAGCUCUUUCGCCUGUGAAGAUAAUGACGGUAGCAGGUAAAGAAACCCCGGCUAACUCCGUGCCAGCAGCCGCGGUAAU
rnacentral:rRNA from 1 species